UACGUAGGUGACGAGCGUUGUCCGGAUUUACUGGGCGUAAAGAGCGCGCAGGCGGUCGUUCAAGUCGAGUGUGAAAGCCCCCGGCUCAACUGGGGAGGGUCACUCGAUACUGAUCGACUCGAAGGCAGGAGAGGGUAGUGGAAUUCCAGGUGUAGCGGUGAAAUGCGUAGAUAUCUGGAGGAACACCGGUGGCGAAGGCGGCGUUCUGGACUGCAACUGACACUGAUGAACGAAAGCCAGGGGAGCAAACGGG
rnacentral:rRNA from 1 species